rnacentral:rRNA from 1 species
UACGUAGGGUGCGAGCGUUAAUCGGAAUUACUGGGCGUAAAGCGUGCGUAGGCGGUCCGCAAAGUCUGAUGUGAAAGCCCUGGGCUCAACCUAGGAAGUGCAUUCGAUACUGCGGAGCUGGAGUCCUGGAGAGGAAGGCGGAAUUCUCGGUGUAGAGGUGAAAUGCGUAGAUAUCGGGAGGAACAUCAGUGGCGAAGGCGGCCUUCUGGUCCAGUACUGACACUCAAGUGCGAAAGCGUGGGGAGCAAACAGG